rnacentral:rRNA from 1 species
CCAGACUCCUACGGGAGGCAGCAGUGGGGGAUAUUGCACAAUGGGGGGAACCCUGAUGCAGCGACGCCGCGUGGGUGAAGAAGCGCCUCGACGCGUAAAGCCCUGUCAGCAGGGAAGAAAAUGACGGUACCUGAAGAAGAAGCCCCGGCUAACUACGUGCCAGCAGCCGCGGUAAUACGUAGGGGGCAAGCGUUAUCCGGAUUUACUGGGUGUAAAGGGGGCGCAGACGGCGAUGCAAGCCAGGAGUGAAAGCCCGGGGCCCAACCCCGGGACUGCUCUUGGAACUGCGUGGCUGGAGUGCAGGAGGGGCAGGCGGAAUUCCUGGUGGAGCGGUGAAAUGCGUAGAUAUUAGGAGGAACACCAGUGGCGAAGGCGGCUUUCUGGACUGUAACUGACACUGAGGUACGAAAGCGUGGGGAGCAAACAGGAUUAGAUACCCCUGUAG